GGAGUUUAUUCCAAUGGGGAGCUCAACUUUUGGCUGUGUGCUAAAAAAAGCCUUGUUGAUCUCUUUGGGGGAUCACAAUUACUACUACUCUGGUGAUAUUAAUAGCAACAGCUUGUCAAUAUUUGGUAAGUUCAAGAAAGGGACAAACACAAGGUCAGAAGAACAAAGCACCAACCAGCUCCGAGGCAGUAACUUGCCAAAAAGGUUGUGUAGAGAGUGUAGCUUUGCUAAGCUUCAUCCAUUGCUUCAUUUUCC
rnacentral:lncRNA from 1 species